GACGAACGCUGGCGGCGUGCUUAACACAUGCAAGUCGAACGGAAAGGCCCUGCUUUUGUGGGGUGCUCGAGUGGCGAACGGGUGAGUAACACGUGAGUAACCUGCCCUUGACUUUGGGAUAACUUCAGGAAACUGGGGCUAAUACCGGAUAGGAGCUCCUGCUGCAUGGGGGGGGUUGGAAAGUUUCGGCGGUUGGGGCUGGACUCGCGGCUUAUCAGCUUGUUGGUGGGGUAGUGGCUUACCAAGGCUUUGACGGGUAGCCGGCCUGAGAGGGUGACCGGCCACAUUGGGACUGAGAUACGGCACAGACUCCUACGGGAGGCAGCAGUGGGGAAUAUUGCACAAUGGGCGGAAGCCUGAUGCAGCAACGCCGCGUGCGGGAUGACGGCCUUCGGGUUGUAAACCGCUUUCGCCUGUGACGAAGCGUGAGUGACGGUAAUGGGUAAAGAAGCACCGGCUAACUACGUG
rnacentral:rRNA from 1 species